rnacentral:tRNA from 1 species
GGGAAUGUGGCUUAGUGGUAGAGUGCUUGUCUAGCAUGCAUGAAGCCCUAGGUUCCAUUCCUAGUACCA